ensembl:misc_RNA 7SK 7SK RNA
GAAGCGGGGCGGAGUGGCGGCCACAACUGUCAGCCCAUUGUACUUCCUGUGCGUCUCUCCUGGAGCUGCUGGCUUGGUGGAGCAGGACAACCCGCCCAGUGGAAGAGCCAUGUUCCUUCCUCACAUGUGCAGGUUUGCGAAUACUUGCACAUCUCCGCUCGAACUUCCAAACCAGCUCGCCAGGUCCUUUUCUAGAGAUUGUAGUAUAGUUAAACCUCCACGUUCCACACUCGGUGAGACACUGCGCAUGGCAGUAGGCCUUCAAU